GAUGAACGCUGGCGGCGUGCCUAAUACAUGCAAGUCGAGCGAACAGACGAGGAGCUUGCUCCUCUGACGUUAGCGGCGGACGGGUGAGUAACACGUGGAUAACCUACCUAUAAGACUGGGAUAUCUUCGGGAAACCGGAGCUAAUACCGGAUAAUAUAUUGAACCGCAUGGUUCAAUAGUGAAAGACGGUUUUGCUGUCACUUAUAGAUGGAUCCGCGCCGCAUUAGCUAGUUGGUAAGGUAACGGCUUACCAAGGCAACGAUGCGUAGCCGACCUGAGAGGGUGAUCGGCCACACUGGAACUGAGACACGGUCCAGACUCCUACGGGACGCCGCAGUAGGGAAUCUUCGGCAAUGGGCGAAAGCCUGACGGAGCAACGCCGCGUGAGUGAUGAAGGUCUUCGGAUCGUAAAACUCUGUUAUUAGGGAAGAACAAAUGUGUAAGUAACUAUGCACGUCUUGACGGUACCUAAUCAGAAAGCCACGGCUAACUACGUG
rnacentral:rRNA from 1 species